UACAGAGGUGGCAAGCGUUGUUCGGAAUUACUGGGCGUAAAGGGCGCGUAGGCGGCCUUCUAAGUCAGACGUGAAAUCCCCCGGCUUAACCUGGGAACUGCGUCUGAUACUGGGAGGCUAGAGUGCGGGAGAGGGAUGCGGAAUUCCAGGUGUAGCGGUGAAAUGCGUAGAUAUCGGGAGGAACACCAAUGGCGAAGGCAGCUCGCUGGGACGGUACUGACGCUGAGACGCGAAAGCGUGGGGAGCAAACAGG
rnacentral:rRNA from 1 species